rnacentral:rRNA from 1 species
AUUGAACGCUGGCGGCAUGCUUUACACAUGCAAGUCGAACGGGCUUAGGGGCUUGCUCCUAAGUUAGUGGCGAACGGGUGAGUAAUGCAUCGGAACGUACCGUGUAGUGGGGGAUAACCCGGAGAAAGUCGGAUUAAUACCGCAUACGAUCUAAGGAUGAAAGCAGGGGAUCGCAAGACCUUGAGCUAUACGAGCGGCCGAUGUCGGAUUAGCUAGUUGGUAGGGUAAAGGCCUACCAAGGCAACGAUCCGUAGCGGGUCGGAGAGGAUGAUCCGCCACACUGGGACUGAGACACGGCCCAGACUCCUACGGGAGGCAGCAGUGGGGAAUUUUGGACAAUGCGCGAAAGCCUGCUCCAGCCAUGCCGCGUGAGUGAAGGAGUCCUUCGGGUUGUAAAGCUCUUUUGUCCGGGAACAAAUCCUAUUCCCUAAUACUUAGCGGGGCUGAGAGUACCGGAAGAAUAAGCACCGGCUAACUCCGUGCCAGCAGCCGCCGUAAAAC